rnacentral:rRNA from 1 species
GACGAACGCUGGCGGCGUGCUUAACACAUGCAAGUCGAACGAAGAGCGAUGGAAGCUUGCUUCUCUCAAUCUUAGUGGCGAACGGGUGAGUAACGCGUAAUCAACCUGCCCUUCAGAGGGGGACAACAGUUGGAAACGACUGCUAAUACCGCAUACGAUCUAAUCUCGGCAUCGAGGAUAGAUGAAAGGUGGCCUCUACAUGUAAGCUAUCACUGAAGGAGGGGAUUGCGUCUGAUUGGCUAGGUGGAGGGGUAACGGCCCACCAGGGCGAUGAUCAGUAGCCGGUCUGAGAGGAUGAACGGCCACAUUGGGACUGAGACACGGCCCAGACUCCUACGGGAGGCAGCAGUGGGGAAUCUUCCGCAAUGGACGAAAGUCUGACGGAGCAACGCCGCGUGAGUGAUGACGGCCUUCGGGUUGUAAAGCUCUGUUAAUCGGGACGAAAGGCCUUCUUGCGAAUAGUGAGAAGGAUUGACGGUACCGGAAUAGAAAGCCACGGCUAACUACGUG